GGGAGGGGGCAGUGGGGAAUAUUGCGCAAUGGGGGAAACCGUGAAGCAGCAACGCGGCGUGGGUGUGGAAGGCCUUCGAGUAGUAAAGCCCUGUUGAGGGGGAAGAAAAAAAUGACGGUACCCCGAGAGGAAGCACGGGAAAACUCUGUCCCCGCAGCCGGGGUAAUACGGGGGGUGCGAGUUUUUUUGGGAAUUCAUUGGGUGAAAAGAGCGUGUGGGGGGCUUUUAAAGUCAGAGGAAAAACCCCGGGGCUCACCCCCGGAAAGUGCUUUUGAUACUGGCAGGCUAGAGUAGGGGAGGGGGUAGGAGAUUUCCCAGUGUAGAGGAAAAAUUUGUAGAUAUGGGGAGGAACACCGGUGGAGAAGGGGCCUACGUGGACCGAUAGAGACUCUGAGACGAGAGAGCGUGGGGAGCAAACAGGAUUAGAUACCGUUGUUGUCCACGCCUUAACGAUGAGUAUUAGGUGUUGGUAGGGUUACCUGUCAGUGCCGCAGC
rnacentral:rRNA from 1 species